CGCCAUGGCAACACUUCACUGUGCAGCACCCGACUUUGCCAGCAGGCGUGCGUGCUUCGGUGAGCAGGCCCAAACUAUAGCACGCAUCGUUGCACACAUCCUUCCUCUUACGCACAUCGACAGGCGCCCUACCACUUGUGUGUGUGUGUGUGUGUCUUUCUCUCUCUCAUCGACGGUGCUCCUGCACCUCUGCCCCGCUCUCGCCCGCCCCACGCACACGCGCAUACGUCUUCUUCAUUUUGAAGAGGCAUAGACACCAAUGAACCAUGCCAACAGGCUGCGCGAGAGCAUCAUCAGCGACACAGCAGCCCGUAUCGGUAACUCUGGAGGCAUCGUCCUCGAUGCCUCCGUCACCUGGCGCCGCUGCUGCUGCGGCGUCCGCUGCCACUCGCUCCAUCGCCUCGCCAGUCCCACGAAGUCCUGCGCCCAAGCGCCAUGAAGCGCGUCAGGACGCUCCGCACCCGCAUCGUCCAGUGCAACCGCCGCUUCGAAUAUCGGCGCUGUCGGCCGCGAUACCGCAUCUUGGACAACUCCACCACUCUCACCGCCACGGCGACGGCGCCUCUCCGCUGCACGUGCUGUGUGCCUGCGACACCUUCAAGGGCACCCUCCCCUCAGACAAAGUCGGUGAGGCGGUGGAGAAGGGUUACUGGCAGGCCUGGGCCAAGACGCGCAGCUCCGCAACGGUGCAGUCACACGUACUUCCAGCAGUCACGGCGCCGUCGGAGGAGGUGUCGGUGCCAUCGCCCACGUCUUCACCGCUGCAUCUGGUGGUACCGCCGCUGGCCGCAAGCUUGCUUUCUGCGCAGCACCCUUCUGUCCUCCCAGCAGACGCGGUGCGGUUUCUGCACACCCCAAUGAGCGACGGUGGCGCCGGUCUGCUAGACAGCGUCACCUACGCCUCAACGCACGCGAGCAUGACGUGGGGCACCAUGCCCAACCUGUCACCGUCGGGCGGCGCGUUGCGCCUGCAGCGUGUAUACGUUCCAGCGUCCGUCCCGAUCACAGGCCCCCUCGGUGCCGCGAUCACGACGGACACCGGUGGUGCACGAAGCGCCGCACCAGCUUCCCGCAGGGUGUCCUUCGCCUGUGAUGUGGAGAGACGCGUGCUUGUCGUUGAGAUGGCAGAGGCGGCUGGGCUGACGCGCAUCGCGCGUCCACAAGACCGACACCCAGGCCGCACGACCAGCUACGGUGUAGGUGAGCUUAUCCGCUACGCGUUGGCCUACAUGGCUGAGGCUGCUCAUGUACAAGCGGAGGCAGACGUGGCCUCGAAAACGCCUUCCCUGGACAGCGCGCCGGGUAGCUGCGGGGGUGUGCGCCUGUUCCUGGGCAUCGGCGGGAGCUCCACCAACGAUGGCGGACUCGGUGCACUGCAGGCGCUGGGGCUGGAGGUCUUUGUGGAUGCUGCCCACGCCCGCGCGACGGACUGUGGUCACGACGGUGCCCGACGCGCGCGCGCAUCGACGGCGGUGCCAGAUGCUCAUGCAGCUCCGACUCAUGUUGACGACGGCGCGGGGGUGCGCCUCGCGAGACCCUUCCGUGGCGAGGACUUGGCCCACGUCACCCGCGUCUGCAUCGGCGCAGAGAUGCAGUGCAUCUUUCCAUACCUGCCUGAAGCAGCGACGCCACCUACCGAGACGGGUACGGGAGGCGAUGAUGCGCAUGCCGCACCACCGCCGCACUCUUCACUGUCGCCUGCGCGCGCGUGCUACAUCACGGAGGUGUGCUUGAUCUGCGACGUGGACAACACGCUUGUUGGUGCGCGCGGGGCAACGUAUGCCUUUGGACCACAGAAGUGCGCCGCGCCACACGCCGCUGCUCCGUUGUCACCUGCCACAGCUGCCGGUACACCUCCUGCUGGAGCGCAUGCGGACAGUGCAGGGGUAGAAGCUGCCGAGGAUGCGGCGGUCGGCACCGUCACCUCUGCGGCGCAGCAGCAGAUGCUGGACUCGCUAGAGGCGGGCAUGCGGCACGCUUCCGCACGCAUCGUGGCGAGCGUGUGGCGGCCCCUUGCCGCUGCGGAUGCGGCUUCGGCGGCCCACGCGCAACAUGCCGCGGGGGAGGCUAGGCACAUGGCCGUUGGUUCGGAUAAGGGAGAUAGUGUGGCAGAGGCGGCGGUGCUGGAGGAUCUGCUAUACCGCCGAGGCGGUGGGGGCGCAGGGGGCAUGAGCGGGUUCUUCCGCUAUCUGCUGCUGGCGCGCUACGUGCCUGGGGCGGACGUGGUUGGCGGUCUGCUUGGCCUUUAUGAGACCCCGCAAGUCGCGCAGCUGCUGAGAAGUGAGGACAGUGUUUCAUUAAGGCGGGCUGCGGCAACCGCGGCGGAGAAGCGCGGCGGACAGCGCAGUGAUGACGCGCUUCCGGUGCCGGCAGAAUGGUCCGCGCACGUUUCUGGACAGCCAACGGCGUUCCCCCUGCGAUGCCCGCGCGGAUGUCUGUUCCACACCUGCGAUGUCGUCGUGUCAGGCGAGGGCUCCUUCGACGAGCAGACAAUUCUGUCGCACAAGACGGUGGGCCGGCUGCUGGAGAUGUGCACGGUGGCCAACGCAUACCGCUUGUGGCACCACUACUGUGACGACGUGGGGGAGGCUGCGGCGGCCUGGAGCGAAAGGCGCGGCUGCCGCUGUAUCACCGACGUGGUCGUCGUGUGCGGCCGCUGCGGCUUUGGCGACUACACGCACUUGCAGUCCGCUGCGCUGCAAGCCGUGUGCACGACUCUACUCCCGCUACACAUCCCCAAUCGCUGCGUGGCGACUGCUGCUGCGACGUCGACGCUUCGGGAAGCAGACGGCGCCAACGCUGAUGACACACGCCUGCAUAUGUAUUUGCAGGACUUGAUGCAGUCGUCGGCGUUUUGGCGCGCGUGCGGCGAGUCCUCUUCUGCCCCGGAGGACGAUCAAGGCUUGAAGUACUUGCUCUCGGCGUACUGUGUGCCGCGUGUGACGGUGCUGCCGCUUACGCCGACGCUGUUCCCUGUGCCGGCGGCGAUGCAGCAGCCGUACGCGUGCGUUGUUUCCGCAGUGGCGCACUUACUCGAAGAGUCAGUGAGGCGCGUGACAAGCGCGCAAGAGGCAAGCGUGGAUGCGUGUGGCAGGCAUGCGCGGAGCUGUCUGUAGUUGCGUGCUGAGACGGGCCCCCUGCCCCCUGUGCCCCUCUUCCUCCCGUGCCGUCCGUUGCCAGCGAUAAGUGCGCUUCCCUGUUUUCCUCAUGUGCCCCAUCGACUCGGUGUCUCUCUAUCUCUGUAUGUCUCACGGCCUUACUACCCGAAGAGAAUCGAUGGCGCUUGCGCGGAUGUCGUCACACCGUGUGUGUGUGUCUUGGACGCUGAUCCUCCAUUCUUCUCGUCUCUCUCUUCCUCCACGCGUCCACCGGACCGUGUCAAG
rnacentral:misc_RNA from 1 species